ensembl:lncRNA C3orf86P long intergenic non-protein coding RNA 694
GACUGUCAAAUGCACUGAGCUCUCAUAACCACAACAAAAACCAGAGCCACUUGUUCGUCCUUUCACUGAAGCCCAACAGACUGGCGUGGGUGCCCGCUUUGCUUUCCCUAGAAGGCCUCAUGUAUGUCUAGAGGUCAGUUUGGACAGGGACAGGAACCUCUAGACAUGUUUUUCUGGGUGAACGAGAUAAGCGGAGAAAUCACCUACCCCCCGCAGAAGGCAGAUGCACCUGCUGUUUCUCCUGAGAGCCCACAAAAGAAGCCCCCAUUUCAGCCCAGGAGUGUGCAGGAGGCUCCUUGCAGUCCCCAGGGCCCGCCUGCACAGAGGCCUGCCCUUGCACCUCCAUCUAAGCCUUCUCUGAAAGACUCAGGCUCAAGAAACCCCUGCCCAUCUGCACCCACCUGGGCCAGGCCAAAGCCGGAGGAGUGAGGAGCCCCCACCGUUCUCAGCAAUCCCUGUCACCAUCUCAUCACCAGGAGUGACUCUGCCCAUACUCGGACCCCUGGGACCAGCCCUUCAGCCACCGGUCUCGACCUCUCCUCUCAGCCCUUCUGCACCCUGGGCCUUCACCUGCAAGCUGAACAAUGUCCUUACUGGGAAUAACUGGUUUUCCUUUUGAAUCUUAAGAAAAUUUGUCUGGCUACACUCUUUAAGCACCUUCCUGAGCCACCCGUGGCCAGGCUCUGCUGGCCGCAUCUGCCUGGCCCCAUCUACCUUCCCUGGAAGCACAGGACUCACCCCAGGGGUCUCACAGGAACAUGCCCAGUGCUUUCAAACCCAGUAAAAUUUUACUUAGAUUUUGACAUAA